rnacentral:rRNA from 1 species
UACGAAGGGGGCUAGCGUUGUUCGGAAUUACUGGGCGUAAAGCGCGCGCAGGCGGUUUUUCAAGUCAGUGGUGAAAGCCCGGAGCUCAACUCCGGAACUGCCAUUGAAACUGUGGAACUUGAGGAUGAGAGAGGUGAGUGGAAUUCCCAGUGUAGAGGUGAAAUUCGUAGAUAUUGGGAAGAACACCGGUGGCGAAGGCGGCUCACUGGCUCAUUUCUGACGCUCAGGCGCGACAGCGUGGGGAGCAAACAGG